rnacentral:rRNA from 1 species
GACGAACGCUGGCGGCGUGCCUAAUACAUGCAAGUCGAGCGAAGUUUUUCUGGUGCUUGCACUAGAAAAACUUAGCGGCGAACGGGUGAGUAACACGUAAAGAACCUGCCUCAUAGACUGGGACAACUAUUGGAAACGAUAGCUAAUACCGGAUAACAGCAUUAACUGCAUGGUUGAUGUUUAAAAGUUGGUUAUGCUAACACUAUGAGAUGGCUUUGCGGUGCAUUAGCUAGUUGGUGGGGUAAAGGCCCACCAAGGCGACGAUGCAUAGCCGACCUGAGAGGGUGAUCGGCCACACUGGGACUGAGACACGGCCCAGACUCCUACGGGAGGCAGCAGUAGGGAAUCUUCCGCAAUGGGCGAAAGCCUGACGGAGCAACGCCGCGUGAGUGAAGAAGGAUUUCGGUUCGUAAAGCUCUGUUGUUAGGGAAGAAUGGAUAUGUAGUAACUAUACAUAUAAGAGACGGUACCUAACCAGAAAGCCACGGCUAACUACGUGCCAGCAGCCGCGGUAAUACGUAGGUGGCAAGCGUUGUCCGGAAUUAUUGGGCGUAAAGCGCGCGCAGGUGGUUUAAUAAGUCUGAUGUGAAAGCCCACGGCUCAACCGUGGAGGGUCAUUGGAAACUGUUAAACUUGAGUGCAGGAGAGAAAGUGGAAUUCCUAGUGUAGCGGUGAAAUGCGUAGAGAUUAGGAGGAACACCAGUGGCGAAGGCGGCUUUUUGGCCUGUAACUGACACUGAGGCGCGAAAGCGUGGGGAGCAAACAGG